ACAAAACCAUAUAUUUAGGUUUGUUUUUCCUAAUUCCUUUUUUCUUCUUUCCUGUCGCAUACGCUUUGCAUGUUCUGUAAAACUCAACAAAAAUUAUUUUUUAUUCACACCAACUGUUCCAAAUCUGUAGAAAAAAAGACACCGAUUUGUGGGUGUAUUUUGGUGUUAGCUUUAUUUAUAACUUUUAAAAAAAAAGAAUUGUCUUGUAUUAUAAACAUUUGACACAGUCAAUAAAUCUCCAUUCUUGUAUUACUUGGGUCGAAUAAACCCUCUACAU
rnacentral:sRNA from 1 species